GAGCAAAAACUUGCUUUCUUUCUUCGUCAGCAACUUCAGCUGAAUUAGUUUUGUAGAUGCCUGCCAUCAUUAUUUAUCUAAGGAUGCAACCAAAAGAAUAUUAGUGUGUGCGAAUAUAUCAUCAUCAUCAUCAUCAUCAUCAUAUAACGUCCAUUGUCCAUGCUGGCAAGGGUUGGAUGGUGUGAACAGAGCUGGCAAGCUGGGAGUGGAGGAGGUAUCUGUACCAGACUCGAGCCUGAUUUGGCAUGGUUUCUAUGACUAGAUGCCUUUCCUAAUGCAGACCACUUUUACGUGGUGCUGCAUGGGUGCUUUUUCAUGGCACCAUUCAUCGCUUUUACAUGACGCUGCACACACACACACAAACAUAUAUAUAAAUACACACACACACACAUAUACACUCAGACACAUAUAUAGAUAGAUAAAUAGAUACAUAUUAUCAUCAUCUUUGUCUGCAUUUAACAUCUAUUUUUCCAUGCUGGCAUGGGUUAGAUAGUUUGACAAGAUCCAGCAAGCCUUAGGGCUGUGUCAAGCUCCAAUGUCAGCUUUUGAUAGGGUUUCCAUUGCUGGAUGCUCUUCCUAACAGCAACCCCUUUACAGAUUGUACUGGUUGCUUUUUUUUUUUCUUUCUUUGUGAGGUUGCCAAAUAUCUUGUGAAACAUGAAAGAAAUGGAAAAAUGAAAAAGGGAAGAAAGGAAAAUCUUUCUCAACUAAAUGGAGGAAGAGAGAUAAUGGUUGUAUAACAGGUGUUGGAAGAAUAAAGUGUGAUAGCAAGAUAAGCCCAUUAUUAUUUAUUGUCACAAUAAAUAAUUUAUUUUGUUAAAGUAUCAACAAACACAGACAUCUCAAGUGUGCUUCCAUGACAUCUGAACUCAAUUUUAGUUAGAUGACUUGUAAUCUUAUACCUACACCACUUCUCAACAUCCUAUCAUCAUCAUCAUCAUUUAGCAUCCAUUUUCCAUGUUGUCAUAGGUUAGACUGAAACUGGUAAGCCAGAGGGCUGUACCAGGCUUCAGUCUGUUUUGGAUUGGUUUCUACAGCUGGAUGCCCUUUAAUAAUGCCAACCACUCCACAAAGUUUAAUGUGUUGCCAGCACAAGGGUACCCUUAACGUGUCACCUGCACUGGCCUUAACUAUAAUUUCACUAAGCUUGACAAAAACGCUGGGUUAACAACUCAACAUAUCACACCCCCUCAAUGAACAUAUAUAAGAUAUACAACAUAAUCCGUCAAACACAAGGAAUAAGAAGAUAUAACAACUGUUUGUGCAGGUGCAAAGUGGCUUCUGUGACAUAUUCUUCCUAGACCUGUGAAAUGGCAUCAUCAUCUUGAGGUAGUUCAUCACACAAGUUAAGAAAAGAUUUUCAUGCAACUUUUGUUGGCUCCAUUUCCAAUCAAAUCAUGGGAGCGAAUCUACCCUUGAAUUGACAAGUUUUAAGUGUUUUUUUCUACAAUGUAAGAGUUGUAAAUCUUAUAACAAAAGAAAGUGCAGCAUUAGUGAUUCAAGAAAUUUCCAUGUUUUGGCAAAAAGCAUGAAUUCCUACCAGAAGAACUGACCACUGUGUUGAUAAGGUCCUCAAAGUCUAUGAUGAAUGGAAAGGUUUACAGAAAAAUUUGAUAAGAAUUGCAGGCAAGGAAAAAGAAAAAAGAAAAAUGCUUGUGGAAAUGAUGGACGAUCUCUUUGACAUAGCUCAUUCAGAUGCUUUGGGACAGAUGAAAAUUGAAGAGGAUAAGAAGUUCUUAAUUCUUCAGUACCAAAAAGGAUGACCAGUCUCCAUGGUUGGUGUAGAUCAAAAACUAAAACACAAGGAAGAAAGAGCACUGCAGCUAACUUCAAUGGAAACUGUCAGGAAAAAAAAAGGUCUUAUGAAGAAAUGGGACAAAAUUUUACUAUUCAUCAGUUUGCUACAUCAGAAACUGAUAAUUCAAUGCGAAGCAGCUAAAGCAGUUAUGGUGGUGAUGACAGUGAAAAUUCCUGUCAUCAUUUAGCAAAUAUCAGCAACAGCAACAACCACAGCAGCAACAACAGUUCCAGCAACUCAAGGAAUCCAGAUCUGCUUAACUCUUUUCAUUCCGUUGCAACAGCAAUUUCAGUGAAAAAUAGAUAAAAAUUGAAGAGGCAGCAACCAAUAGCGGUACCAUAUAUUUUGGCAUGACAUAUUCGUUAUAAUUCAGACAAAUACUGACGAAGACAGAGAGUUUUCACACUGGCGAGGAGAAGCAGGCAGUUCAUAUGAAAGCUUCACAAAAGACAAACUGAGUAAAUCAGAUGAAAUGACAGCUUCCCUCAUAUACAUAAAUAAAUAUAAUAUAAUAUAAUAUAAUAUAUAUAUAUAUAUGGAAUGAUUGUAAAUAAAAUGAAAAUAAACAGAAACUGUAAUGAUAAAUAAAUA